rnacentral:rRNA from 1 species
UACGAAGGGGGCUAGCGUUGCUCGGAAUCACUGGGCGUAAAGCGCACGUAGGCGGCUUUCUAAGUCGGUGGUGAAAUCCUGGAGCUCAACUCCAGAACUGCCUUCGAUACUGAGAGUCUCGAGUCCGAGAGAGGUGAGUGGAACUGCGAGUGUAGAGGUGAAAUUCGUAGAUAUUCGCAAGAACACCAGUGGCGAAGGCGGCUCACUGGCUCGGUACUGACGCUGAGGUGCGAAAGCGUGGGGAGCAAACAGG